CCUACGGGAGGCAGCAGUCGGGAAUAUUGCGCAAUGGAGGAAACUCUGACGCAGUGACGCCGCGUGCAGGAAGAAGGUUUUCGGAUUGUAAACUGCUUUAGACAGGGAAGAAAAAAGACAGUACCUGUAGAAUAAGCUCCGGCUAACUACGUGCCAGCAGCCGCGGUAAUACGUAGGGACCAAGCGUUCUCCGGAUUGAUUGGGGGGAAAGGGUUCGAAGGCGGGGGAGCAAGUUAGUUGAGAAAUCCCUCGGCUUAAAUGAGGAACUGCAACUAAAACUACUUCCCUUGAGUACUGGAGAGGAAAGUGGAAUUCCUAGUGUAGCGGUGAAAUGCGUAGAUAUUAGGAGGAACACCAGUGGCGAAGGCGACUUUCUGGACAGUAACUGACGUUGAGGCACGAAAGUGUGGGGAGCAAACAGGAUUAGAUACCCGUGUAGUC
rnacentral:rRNA from 1 species